AUGGCUAGUGGCACCAAUGAUUUGGAAGACAGCGAAGGGAUGUACCUUGACGAUGAUUUAGAUGAAACAUUUCCUUCGCAAAGCCAGUUUGAAGAAGGACACACUCAGUUACUUGAUGUAGGUGGCGGAGACCCCCAGUUUGAUGUCGAAAAGUUCCUGAACAACCUGCGGAAUUUGUUUUACUCAUCAAAUCACAAUGCCAAUUCUUCUAAGAAUACCUGUUUUCUUGGUCAGUGUGCCCCACUUCCUCCGAAGAAGGCAACGAGCAGGUGUAAUCAUGGCUAUUUCAGUGAUCUGCUGAAGAAAAUUCCACCAUCAAGAUUAGAUGUCAUUAAAAACUAUGCUUGCUCUUUUAUUCUUGAUUUUGAGUGCAAUUUUGUUCCAAGAGGAUUUGCGCAUUGGAUAGUAGGGAAAGUAAAUCCACCUAUUAGUGACAUAGUUCUUGACAAUAAAGUAAUUCCAAUGAGCCCCAAAUCAUUUCAUCUACUACUUGGUCUUCCAUUAGGUGGCACUUUAGUUUUAUUUGACAGUGAAGUGACAAAAGCAACUUUCCUCAAUAUUAUUGGUGAACAGUGCCCUCUAUUAAAAGGUUUGGGUUGA
rnacentral:rRNA from 1 species